GUUAACUCCUCCCGUUAAGCCAUCAUUACAUUCUUUGGGACUGGUGUAUUCCGGCAUCAGAAUUCGGCAAUUUUACGUGGCCGAAUGUUUGGCAACACAUACAAAUGUACGUUUUGGGUGCCAUUUUAGAAAUCAGAUUUCAUAUUUGUGUAUUUUUCGUCAAUCCCUCUUUCAUCUCGCAUCUCUCUCACCACGCGACCGAAAAUCCCCCGCCGCCCCACUCCACCGCUCCCACCGCUCUCCUUCACCACCGGUCCACCACCGUCGCCUAGUGUCUAUUCUUAUCUCUUUAUUGUUAAUUUUAUAUUUGCUCUUUCUCUUUCUCUCACUUAAUUUCUCAUCUCUCUCUCUCACAGUGGUUGCCGCGUUCCACCUCCGCUCCAUCACCGCCUGAACACCUUUGACGGUGAAGUCUCUCAUUCGUCGUCGCCGUCGCCAUCCCCUACUCGAUUUCAGGUAAGCUUGUCCCAAUUUUCGGACAGAGGGCUUUAAGCAUAGGGCUUGAUUUUUGAAAUUUCUGCGGGUUUAGCUAGUAGCUUAGUUCUAAUUUCUCAUCUCUCUCUCACAGCUGUUGCCGCGUUCCACCACCUCCGCUCCACCAUCGCCUGAACACCUUUGACGGUGAAGUCUCUCAUUCGCCGUCGCCAUCCCUUAC
rnacentral:lncRNA from 1 species